rnacentral:rRNA from 1 species
AUUGAACGCUGGCGGCAUGCUUUACACAUGCAAGUCGAACGGCAGCACGGGGGCAACCCUGGUGGCGAGUGGCGAACGGGUGAGUAACACAUCGGAACGUGUCCAGUUGUGGGGGAUAACCCAUCGAAAGGUGGGCUAAUACCGCAUGAGCUGGCAACAGGAAAGCGGGGGACCCGCAAGGGCCUUGUGCGAUUGGAGCGGCCGAUGUCCGAUUAGCUAGUUGGUGGGGUAAAGGCCUACCAAGGCUUCGAUCGGUAGCUGGUCUGAGAGGAUGAUCAGCCACACUGGGACUGAGACACGGCCCAGACUCCUACGGGAGGCAGCAGUGGGGAAUUUUGGACAAUGGGGGCAACCCUGAUCCAGCCAUGCCGCGUGCGGGAAGAAGGCCU